rnacentral:tRNA from 2 species
CGGAUUAGGGCCGGGUUGGUUAGGCACCUCGUUUGGGUCGGGGACCAGUUACGUUCGAACCGUAAUAAUCCGA